rnacentral:rRNA from 1 species
CCCUUAGACGUUCUGGGCCGCACGCGCGCUACACUGACCAGUGCAACAAGCAUCCGUCCUUGGCCGACAGGCCCGGGCAAUCUUUGAACGCUGGUCGCGAUGGGGAUAGACUUUUGCAAUUUUUGGUCUUCAACGAGGAAUUCCUAGUAAACGCAAGUCAUCAACUUGCAUUGAUUACGUCCCUGCCCUUUGUACACACCGCCCGUCGCACCUACCGAUUGAAUGGUCCGGUGAAGCCUCCGGAUUGGCGCGCACCUCGGUGCCGCCGAGAAGUUGGCUAAACCUUACCAUUUAGAGGAAGGUGAAGUCGUAACA